AGGGUUCGAUCAUGGCUCAGAACGUACGCUGGCGGCACGCCUAACACAUGCAAGUCGAACGCAGUAGCAAUACUGAGUGGCGAACGGGUGAGUAUAAUGUGGGUAUCUGCCUUUUGGUUUGGAAUAACACGGGGAAACUUGUGCUAAUACCGGAUAAGCCUUUACAGGGAAAGUUUUAACGCCAAAAGAUGAGCCCGCACUUGAUUAGCCAGUUGGUAAGGUAAUGGCUUACCAAGGCUACGAUCAAUAGCUGAUCUGAGAGGAUGAUCAGCCACAUUGGGACUGAGACACGGCCCAAACUCCUACGGGAGGCAGCAGUGGGGAAUCUUGCACAAUGGGGGAAACCCUGAUGCAGCGAUGCCGCGUGAGUGAAGAAGGCCUUUGGGUUGUAAAGCUCUUUCGUCGGGGAAGAAAAUGACUGUACCCGAAUAAGAAGGUCCGGCUAACUUCGUGCCAGCCGCCGCGGUAAUAC
rnacentral:rRNA from 1 species